GCAUCCUUAGCUCAGUUGGUAGAGCAUCUGACUCUUAAUCAGCAGGUCGCGGGUUCGAGUCCCGCAGGAUGCA
rnacentral:tRNA from 2 species